rnacentral:rRNA from 1 species
CCUACGGGAGGCAGCAGUAGGGAAUCUUUCACAAUGGGCGAAAGCCUGAUGGCGCAACGCCGCGUGCAGGAUGAAGACCUUCGGGUUGUAAACUGCUUUUAUAAGCGAGAAAUAUGAUGGUAACUUAUGACUAAGGAUCGGCUAACUACGUGCCAGCAGCCGCGGUCAUACGUAGGAUCCGAGCAUUAUCCGGAGUGACUGGGUGUAAAGAGUUGCGUAGGUGGCAUAAUAAGUAGCUAGUGAAAUCUGGUGGCUCAACCAUUCAGACUAUUAGCUAAAAUGUUAAGCUCGAGACCGUUAGGGGUAACUGGAAUUUCUAGUGUAGGAGUGAAAGCCGUAGAUAUUAGAAGGAACACCAAUAGCGUAGGCAGGUUACUGGGACGGUUCUGACACUAAGGCACGAAAGCGUAGGGAGCAAACGGGAUUAGAUACCCCAGUAGUC